CUCGUAGGCGGUUUGUCGCGUCGACCGUGAAAACUUGAGGCUUAACUUCAAGCUUGCGGUCGAUACGGGCAGACUUGAGUUCGGUAGGGGAGACUGGAAUUCCUGGUGUAGCGGUGAAAUGCGCAGAUAUCAGGAGGAACACCGGUGGCGAAGGCGGGUCUCUGGGCCGAUACUGACGCUGAGGAGCGAAAGCGUGGGGAGCGAACA
rnacentral:rRNA from 1 species